GGGCUUGACAUCCCACGAACCUGCCUGAAAGGGCGGGGUGCCCGCAAGGGAGCGCGGAGACAGGUGGUGCAUGGCUGUCGUCAGCUCGUGUCGUGAGAUGUUGGGUUAAGUCCCGCAACGGGCGCAACCCUCACCCCUUGUUGCUACCAGGUAAAGCUGGGCACUCUAGGGGAACUGCCCCGGUCAACGGGGAGGAAGGCGGGGAUGACGUCAAGUCAUCAUGCCCCUUACGUCCUGGGCUACACACGUGCUACAAUGGCCGGUACAAAGGGAUGCCACACCGCGAGGUAGAGCUAAACCCAAAAAGCCGGUCUAAGUUCAGAUUGGAGUCUGCAACUCGACUCCAUGAAGGGGGAAUCGCUAGUAAUCGCGUAUCAGCACGACGCGGUGAAUACGUUCCCGGGCCUUGUAACACCGCCCGUCACACCACGAACGCCAGCUGUACUCGAAGUCGCUGAG
rnacentral:rRNA from 1 species